GAUGAACGCUGGCGGCGUGCCUAAUACAUGCAAGUCGAGCGAACAGACGAGGAGCUUGCUCCUCUGACGUUAGCGGCGGACGGGUGAGUAACACGUGGAUAACCUACCUAUAAGACCGGGAUAACUUCGGGAAACCGGAGCUAAUACCGGAUAACAUGUUGAACCGCAUGGUUCAACAGUGAAAGACGGUCUUGCUGUCACUUAUAGAUGGAUCCGCGCCGCAUUAGCUAGUUGGUAAGGUAACGGCUUACCAAGGCAACGAUGCGUAGCCGACCUGAGAGGGUGAUCGGCCACACUGGAACUGAGACACGGUCCAGACUCCUACGGGAGGCAGCAGUAGGGAAUCUUCCGCAAAGGGCGAAAGCCUGACGGAGCAACGCCGCGUGAGUGAAGAAGGUCUUCGGAUCGUAAAACUCUGUUAUUAGGGAAGAACAAAUGUGUAAGUAACUAUGCACGUCUUGACGGUACCUAAUCAGAAAGCCACGGCUAACUACGUG
rnacentral:rRNA from 1 species